UAGCCCACCUGUCUGUUAGGCAGCUCUCGAUCCUUCUGUGCCUUCUCUCACCAACCGUUGAGGUCUUUCUUCUGAAACAAAGAAGAACUAGACAAAUCAGACUUGCCCUCUUGGAAAUGUGGUCCAGAUUUCUCUACUCCCAAGCUCCAAGCCA
ensembl:misc_RNA